rnacentral:rRNA from 1 species
GGGAUAUUUCUAUGUCUACUAGUUGUCGGGACUUAUUGUCUUGGUAACGCAGCUAACGCGUGAAGUAGACCGCCUGGGGAGUACGGUCGCAAGAUUAAAACUCAAAGGAAUUGACGGGGACCCGCACAAGCGGUGGAUGAUGUGGAUUAAUUCGAUGCAACGCGAAAAACCUUACCUACCCUUGACAUGUCAGGAAUCCCGCAGAGAUGUAGGAGUGCUCGAAAGAGAACCUGAACACAGGUGCUGCAUGGCUGUCGUCAGCUCGUGUCGUGAGAUGUUGGGUUAAGUCCCGCAACGAGCGCAACCCUUGUCAUUAGUUGCUACGCAAGAGCACUCUAAUGAGACUGCCGGUGACAAACCGGAGGAAGGUGGGGGAUGACGUA